rnacentral:lncRNA from 1 species
AAGGAGGAUUCCUGGUGCAGCAAGGAGUCUCAUUAAGUCGCAGAAUCAAAGGAUAAAUCGUUUAGGAAACAUUCCUGUUUUAAAAAGGGAAAGUUGCCUAUUUCAUUUUAAGAAACUUUCUUAUUUUGAUUUAGGAAACUUACUAUGUCUGAAUCUUUCCUAUUCUGACUUUCCUAAAAUAAUUAGGAAAGUUUCUUUUCUAAUGAGACAGGGUAACCAUUUGCAGUCAGAAAACCUAAUCCAACUCGGAAUAGGAAUCUGUGAAUGUGUAUAAAAGGGGGAGGACGAAUUCUGCAGCAAUCAAGGAUUUUAUAUUUGCUAAUCAGAGAAUUAAGGGAGAUUCUUUCCUUUAAAUUCGUCAUUUAAAUUCUGUUAUUCCCUACCAUAUCUAUCUAAUUUUAUUUCCCUUGCAGAACCCUAAUUGCGCGCACCAGGAAAGGGAGGAAAAUCAUGGAUUUUAAAUCAGAGGCUUGAUUGAUAGCAGAAGAGGAUAAGUUCUUAAUCACAGGGAAUUCCAUUGGAGAACAAGUUGUGUACCUGGUCCAUAUUCAAGCCUUAUGGAAUGGAUUACUGCACAAGACAAUCCAGAGAAUUCUGGGAAAGUCUAAAUCAGAUUUAAAUCAAUAAUUCUACACUGUUGGAUCACAAAUCAAUCAAGGGCUAGGAGGAUAGCUAGGGUUUCGCCAAGACACUAUAUAAAGGAGCAGAGAGAAACGUUUCUUCAUCUCUUCUUCGCACAGUAAUCGGCAUUUUCGCACGAUCUUACGAGAUUGCGAACAUAUCAACGUUCUCGGAAUCUGCCGAAACCAAAUUCUUGGCUCCUUUUGGGACCUCCAUACACCCACAACAUUGAUCUUUCAACUUUUUUUGAGAAAAUUUGACGUGUUAUUUUUUCGCACGAUCUUAGAGAUUGCGAACAUAUCAACGUUCUCGGAAUCUGCCGAUACCAAAUUCUUGGCUCUUUUUGGGACCUCCAUACACCCACAACAUUGAUCUUUCAACUUUUUUUGAGAAAAUUUGAGGUGUUAUUUUGGCAUUUUCGCACGAUCUUACGAGAUUGCGAACAUAUCAACGUUCUCGGAAUCUGCCGAAACCAAAUUCUUGGCUCUUUGUGGGACCUCCAUACACCCACAACAUUGAUCUUUCAACUUUUUUUGAGAAAAUUUGAGGUGUUAUUUUGGCAUUUUCGCACGAUCUUACGAGAUUGCGAACAUAUCAACGUUCUCGGAAUCUGCCGAAACCAAAUUCUUGGCUCUUUUUGGGACCUCCAUACACCCACAACAUUGAUCUUUCAACUUUUUUUGAGAAAAUUUGACGUGUUAUUUUGGCAUUUUCGCACGAUCUUACGAGAUUACGAUCAUAUCAACGUUCUCGGAAUCUGCCGAAACCAAAUUCUUGGCUCUUUUUGGGACCUCCAUACACCCACAACAAUGAUCUUUCAACUUUUUUUGAGAAAAUUAGACGUGUUAUUUUUUCGCACGAUCUUACGAGAUUGCGAACAUAUCAACGUUCUCGGAAUCUGCCGAAACCAAAUUCUUGGCUCUUUUUGGGUACCUCCAUACACCCACAACAUUGAUCUUUCAACUUUUUUUGUAGAAAAUUU